UUUACAACAAAUCGACAUUUCUAUCUAGAUUUCAGUGUCACUUCCUAAUUUUUGCUACUACUACGGGCGCGGCGUGCCGCCGCGCCUACGCCUCCUAGUAGUUACCUACAUGGCAUCAAUCAAAUUUGUGCAGACAGUGCAUGUUAAUAAGAUUUUCUUAAAUUUGAUCAGUUUCAUAUCAGGAAGUAUGUAUCUUUCUGUGAAAUUUCUUUUCCUUCAAUUCAUAACUAAAAUUCUGCUCAUAUUUGAGAGAAUUGGAGAUGGAUGCUAUGAUGGUGAUUGUUGAUGUUAGAAGCACAAGCAAUUGUUACUGUUGGUGUGACAGCCUGGUGCGCUAUUUUGUCCUGGCCCUUCUUUUUCUUCUCUACAUAUAUGUUUUCAUUGGUUUUCUUCUUGUGAAACUUCUCUAAUAUUCCUGCAUUUUUUUUGUUGUUGGUAAAAGUGGUAGUUAGGUUUGGUUUUGCAAAACCCUAUGUAGAUUUGGCAAUGAAAUUCUCGAGGAUCAAGGAAAUAUGAAAACCAUUAUUUGCUAAAUUUAGUUGCAGAUGUAGUUCCUUUAUGAAAUGGUGGUUGCAAGGUAUUAGCCAUAUACACCAUGUUGGAUGAGGAUGCUCCAGGAAUUUGGUCAGGAACUUUUGUGACCCAGCAAGCCAUCGAUACAAUUGAUUACAUUGUAUCAUAGUCUGCAGAGGUUAUUUUGAGAUGAACAUGAAACAUACAGAGGGAAUUAUGCUUACUAUCCACAUGCUUUUCUAAGAACAUAUACUGUCGCACUCACAUUAUUUUUGUAGAUGUUGCUGAGAAUUCAUAUAAGUGGAGCCAGACCUUAUCUAUUUAGCUUUGCUUAGCAUCCUUCCUAGCUGAAUUAUUUCAGAGGCCUUUUACCUCAAAUAAAGUGUCCAGUUUCAGUACCUAAUUACUUGGUACACAAAUCUGCUAAUGUUUAUUUAUACUCGGUGUACCUUCCUUCAAUUCUUUGCACGAUUCUCGUGUCAAUUCACUAAUAAUCACUGGCAAUCUCUUCAACAGACAAGAGGCGAGCUCUCUUCUUUUAUGUGUGCCAAGUUCAUACACUAUUUAAACUGUUUUAGGUAUUACAACCAUCGAAGAAGGCUCAGAUAUAAUAGCGCAAGAAGAAAACCUAACUUAUCUUUAUAUGGGUGGGUCUGAGCUUCUCUGCCUUCUGUACCUGGCCAUCUCCAUCCUGCACGGCAGCCGAUGCCUCAAGGUAAUACUGUGACAUAGAAAUUGUGAAUACGUUGACCUGUUGUCGAUUCGCUGCAUAUUUUCCUCUAUACAUUUUUCUAUGCUUUUCCUGAUUUAUUGAUUGCUUUAGGUAUUUUUCGAACCAUAGGUUACAUUUAUUGACCUUCUGGUCCAUAAGAAACGGAGUAUGGAUGCUCAAACAAUGAAUUCAGCAUUGAUAUUAGAUUUAUACUGGCACACAUUAAAUUCAGAAUUCACUGAGGUUAGCUUUCUUCUAUUGUUGCUUAAGCCUGCCAACUCAGUAGGUUAUCAGUCUAAUUAAGUACUCUUAAGAAGUUAGUAUCUUUCUCUUUGUGUUGUGCUUCACAUAAUGGCUCUGCUUGGACACUAUGCCUUGUGCUAAAAAUAAUAAUUAUAUGGCAUAUUUAUGGAUGUCUCAUUUAGCUUUUUUAGGGUUCAAUUGAAGAAUACAAGUCGAGGAAACAACAUGUUCCACUGAUCCAAGACUUCCGAAGUUGGGCACAAUAGUAAAGAUGCUUCAAAUUAAGAAACGGUGAACUAGAUGCUAAAUAUUAUUAGACUGCAAUAUCUUUGGAAAAUAUUACUGGUGGUGAAUUUUUGACGUUAACUUACUCUAAUAGAUUUAGAUGUUAAUUCAAAUGAUAUUCUAGCCUUGAUUUUUCGUUGACCAUAUGCUGAUGUGCAUACAUGUAUUUUAAUGCCAAAUGAAAUGGUCAUUAAUUCGGUACAAGGAACUGUUUUGCUCUGUAAAUUCACGGAGCUGUAGUGAAAUCUCAGUAGUGCAUCAGAGCAAAAGGUUUGCGUAGAAACUUUGCUAUUGACCAGAUCCAUUUUUGUGUACUACGUGUCUAUAUUUCUUCUUCCCGCGUACAGCCCGAGCUCAAAUUCUAUGCUUGGGUGUUCCAAUAACUAGAAGCAACAACAACAGCGCCAGUGUCCGUCAUCCUCUUAGUCACACGCUUGGAUGUUCCGACUUCAGCCUUUGUUAAGGCUUUGGAUAGCUAUAAAAAAGCAUUCAAAAAGUGGUCCUGCAUUUCCAAUAGACUUUAUUGUGACCUUUGUAACUUGGAUGAUGAGUUGAGUUUCUUUUGACAUGUGUUGCAGACCUCAGUUAAGUCUUUGGAAAGCUAUAACAACAUCGUGACCUAAUGUAUAUAUAUAUAUAUAUAUACAAUUCAUCAGUUGCGCAACCACAAGUCACACCAUUGUGAUAUGCCUUAGUCUAUGGCUGUUUUUUUUGUGAAACCAGUAAAAUGAAACAUAUAGUAUGCACAUCCUUAUUGGGCCCUAUAUGCUAUAAACAAGAUCGUUUGUGGGCCCUAUAUGUCGUUCGGGAGUUGUCCUGGAGAGGCAUUUGGAGAAAAAGAGGAAGCAUUACUUCUGUUAGAUGAAACAUCGAGUAGAGCUAGCUCUUGGUGAUGUAGGUUCCUUGCGCCAUUCUUUUGCUCCGCAUGUAGAUAGAAUCCAUCCGAGCUACUUCCCUGGUGGCCAAGCUCGGUUUUACUUUUCAAAGUUCCUGUUGCUUCAGAUGGUGCUCCCAUGUUUUUCUAUCAGCAAAUGCUUCGUAUUGUGUAACUUAGCUAUGCUUGGAGGACCCUGCUAGCAGUUAGACCUUGGCUAGAUUUCCAUAUAAUGUACACAAGAAUUUCAUCGGCUAUGUUAUAUAACAAGUUUAGAAGAAUAUUAAUAUAUUAGCUUAACCAGUACCUAUUUUGACUCCAUGUUAAGAU